ACGGCUCAGUAACACGUAGUCAACAUGCCCAGGGGACGUGGAUAACCUCGGGAAACUGAGGAUAAACCGCGAUAGGUCAUGAUUUCUGGAAUGAUUCAUGGCCCAAAUCUAUAUGGCCCCUGGAUUGGACUGCGGCCGAUCAGGCUGUUGGUGAGGUAAUGGCCCACCAAACCUGUUACCGGUACGGGCUCUGAGAGGAGGAGCCCGGAGAUGGGCACUGAGACAAGGGCCCAGGCCCUAUGGGGCGCAGCAGGCGCGAAACCUCUGCAAUAGGCGAAAGCCUGACAGGGUUACUCUGAGUGGUUUCCGCUAAGGGAACCUUCUGGCACCUCUACAAAUGGUGCAGAAUAAGGGGUGGGCAAGUCUGGUGUCAGCCGCCGCGGUAAUACCAGCUCUCCGAGUGGUGUGGAUGUUUAUUGGGCCUAAAGCAUCCGUAGCUGGCUAGGUCAGUCCCUUGUUAAAUCCACCGAAUUAAUCGUUGGAUUGCGGGGGAUACUGCUUGGCUAGGGGACGAGAGAGGCAGACGGUAUUUUCGGGGUAGGGGUGAAAUCCUAUAAUCCCGGGAAGACCACCAGUGGCGAAGGCUGUCUGCUAGAACGCGCCCGACGGUGAGGGAUGAAAGCUGGGGGAGCGAACCGGAUUAGAUACCCGGGUAGUCCCAGCUGUAAACGAUGCAGACUAGGUGUUUGGACGGCCACGUGCCGUUCUAGUGCCGCAGGGAAGCUGUUAAGUCUGCCGCCUGGGGAGUACGAUCGCAAGAUUGAAACUUAAAGGAAUUGGCGGGGGAGCAC
rnacentral:rRNA from 1 species